AGUGAAUAGAUACCCCGGUAGUCCACGCCGUAAACGAUGGAUACUAGAUGUCGGAAGUUCUUACCCUUUCGGCGUCGUAGCUAAACGCGUUAAAGUAUCCCGCCUGGGGAGUACGAUCGCAAGAUUAAAACUCAAAGAAAUUGACGGGGGCCCGCACAAGCGGUGGAGUAUGUGGUUUAAUUCGACGCAACGCGAAAAACCUUACCUAGGCUUGACAUACCACGCUACCCUAUGAAAGUAGGGGUUCCCUUCGGGGACGUGGAUACAGGUGCUGCAUGGCUGUCGUCAGCUCGUGUCGUGAGAUGUUGGGUUAAGUCCCGCAACGAGCGCAACCUCUGCCAUUUAGUUGCCAGCAUUAAGUUGGGCACUCUAAUGGGACCGCUUGCC
rnacentral:rRNA from 1 species